rnacentral:rRNA from 1 species
UACGGGGGGAGCAAGCGUUGUUCGGAUUUAUUGGGCGUAAAGAGCGUGUAGGCGGCUUUACAGGUCCGUUGUGAAAACUCGAGGCUCAACCUCGAGACGCCGGUGGAAACCGUAAAGCUAGAGUCCGGAAGAGGAGAGUGGAAUUCCUGGUGUAGCGGUGAAAUGCGCAGAUAUCAGGAAGAACACCCGUGGCGAAGGCGGCUCUCUGGGACGGUACUGACGCUGAGACGCGAAAGCGUGGGGAGCAAACAGG